rnacentral:tRNA from 1 species
GCCGAUGUGGCGGAAUAGGCAGACGCAAGGGACUUAAAAUCCCUCGCUGGCAACAGUGUACCGGUUCAAGUCCGGUCAUCGGCA